ACCAUUUCAGAGGCACUUUGAGGACAUCAUUGCUGAUGCACCUGUGCAGGAUAAGGGGGAGACAAAUGAAUACUACUCUCCCACAUUUAUGCCAAAUCUGGUGAAGCUCUUCCUGCCUCAGGCUCAUCUCUGGUCCGCACUUAUGCUGGGAGAUUUGAGCCGCCAUGGAAAGGGUCCUGCCUACCAAAAUCUGUCAAAGAAAUUUGAGAGAUGCUGUCAGCUGGACACACAGAAUUAUACCAGUGACAAUAAAACACAAGGCAUCAUGGAGAAAAGGCAGUGGGACCUGAAGCAUGUGCGCUUUCAAAGACA
ensembl:lncRNA